rnacentral:tRNA from 1 species
GUCCCUGUAGCUUAUAAUAAAGCAUAACACUGAAGAUGUUAAGAUGGCUGCCCUAUACACCCAAGGACA